rnacentral:rRNA from 1 species
AUUGAACGCUAGCGGGAUGCUUUACACAAGCAAGUCGAACGAGUGGCGGACGGGUGAGUGAUAUAUCGGAACGUGCCCAGUAGCGGGAUAUACCUACUCGCAAGAGUGGCUAAUACAGCCUCCUACUGGAUCGGCCGACAUCGGAUUAUCUAAUUGGUGGGGGAAAGGCUCACCAAGGCAAAGAACCGUAGCUGGUUUGAGAGGACGACCAGCCACACUGGGACGGAAGGACGGCCCGAGCUCCUACGGGAGGCAGCAGUGGGGAAUUUUGGACAAUGGGGGAAACCCUGAUCCAGCCAUCCCGCUUGUAUGAGAAGGCCUUCGGGUUGUAAAGUACUUUUGGCAGAGAAGCGGUAUCUGCAGAAUAAGCACCGGCUAGCUACGUGCCAGCAGCCGCGGUAAUAC